CCUACGUGGGGCAGCAGUGAGGAAUAUUGGUCAAUGGGCGGAAGCCUGAACCAGCCAAGUCGCGUGCAGGAUGACGGCCCUACGGGUUGUAAACUGCUUUUAUACGGGAAUAACGCGCCUUACGUGUAGGUCUUUGCAUGUACCUUAUGAAUAAGGACCGGCUAAUUCCGUGCCAGCAGCCGCGGUAAUACGGAAGGUCCGGGCGUUAUCCGGAUUUAUUGGGUUUAAAGGGAGCGUAGGCCGCAUGUCAAGCGUGCUGUGAAAUGUCCGGGCUCAACCCGGGCCUUGCAGCGCGAACUGGCGUGCUUGAGUCCGCGGAAGGCAGGCGGAAUGCGACGUGUAGCGGUGAAAUGCUUAGAUAUGGCGAAGAACCCCGAUUGCGAAGGCAGCUUGCUGCAGCGGAACUGACGCUGAUGCUCGAAAGCGCGGGUAUCGAACAGGAUUAGAUACCCGUGUAGUC
rnacentral:rRNA from 1 species